UACAGAGGUCUCGAGCGUUGUUCGGAUUCAUUGGGCGUAAAGAGCGCGUAGGCGGCCAGAUAAGUCCGGUGUGAAAGUCAAAGGCUCAACCUUUGAAUGCCGCUGGAAACUGUCUGGCUAGAGUCCGGGAGGGGCGAGUGGAAUUCCUGGUGUAGCGGUGAAAUGCGCAGAUAUCAGGAGGAACACCGGUGGCGAAGGCGGGAUCCUGGGCCAGUACUGACGCUGAGGAGCGAAAGCGUGGGGAGCGAACAGG
rnacentral:rRNA from 1 species